AUGCUGCCUCAAUCCCGUGGACUUUCUAAAAUGUCUGCCACGGGCCUUCACCUGGGCGUCGGGACGGUGCUGACGUCUUUCCAUGAAUGCAGGAGCAGGACUGGGCCAGUGUUGAUCUGCUACCCUGGCAUCCUCGGAUCUGGAUCAUCAUGUUAUCGGGGCAGUCACGCUAACCACAACGACCGAUGCCGUCUCAAUCCCGUGGCCAUGGCAGAUGUUUCUAAAAUGGCUCCCACGGGCCUUCACCAGGGUGUCGGACGGUGCGGACGUCUUUCCAUGAAGGCAGGAGCAAGACGUGUCCAUUGUUGA
rnacentral:lncRNA from 1 species